rnacentral:rRNA from 1 species
UACGAAGGGGGCUAGCGUUGCUCGGAAUCACUGGGCGUAAAGCGCACGUAGGCGGCGCAGCAAGUCAGGGGUGAAAUCCCGGGGCUCAACCUCGGAACUGCCCUUGAAACUGCAGUGCUAGAAUCUUGGAGAGGCGAGUGGAAUUCCGAAUGUAGAGGUGAAAUUCGUAGAUAUUCGGAAGAACACCAGUGGCGAAGGCGACUCGCUGGACAAGUAUUGACGCUGAGGUGCGAAAGCGUGGGGAGCAAACAGG